rnacentral:lncRNA from 1 species
AAAGUUAUGAAUACAUACAUAUUUUUAUUUAAGAUAGGUUAUAUUUCUUCAAACUAUUUUAUUUAUGUAAACGGAAGGUAAUCGAAAAGAGGAAAAUAAAUGGAUGAUAACAUAACAUCACAAUGUUUGCUGUAAUCGAUUAUAUAACAAUUACAUGUAAUCGAAAAUAUCAUCUAUAGAUUACUAUCAAUUACUGGAAACACAUGUAAUCAAUCACAAUCGAUUGCAAUUACAGAUUACGAUAAUGGUAUUCCUGAUCAAUGGAGUUUGAAAGAACAGUUGAUAAUGCAUGACAUUGUUUUUAUUCAUUAUUAUGGGCCGA